rnacentral:rRNA from 1 species
AUGCUUCUAUGUGCUGCCCAAGGAUGGAGCCGCGGCCGAUCAGGUUGUUGGUGAGGUAACGGCUCACCAAGCCUUUAACCGGUACGGGCCGUGAGAGCGGGAGCCCGGAGAUGGGUACUGAGACAAGGACCCAUGCCCUACGGGGCGCAGCAGUCGCGAAAACUCCGCAAUACGCGAAAUCGUGACGGGGCUAUCCCGACUGCCGUCCGCUGAGGAUGGCUUUUCCCCAGUGUAUAAAGCUGCAGGAAUAAGGAGAGGGCAAGCCUGGUGUCAGCCGACACGGUAAUACCAGCUCUACGAAUGGUGGGGAUGCUUA